rnacentral:rRNA from 1 species
UACGUAGGUGGCAAGCGUUAUCCGGAAUUAUUGGGCGUAAAGCGCUCGCAGGCGGUUUCUUAAGUCUGAUGUGAAAGCCCACGGCUCAACCGUGGAGGGUCAUUGGAAACUGGGAAACUUGAGUGCAGAAGAGAAGAGUGGAAUUCCACGUGUAGCGGUGAAAUGCGUAGAGAUGUGGAGGAACACCAGUGGCGAAGGCGACUCUCUGGUCUGUAACUGUCGCUGAGGAGCGAAAGCGUGGGGAGCAAACAGG